UGGGGAAUAUUGGACAAUGGGGGAAACCCUGAUCCAGCGAUGCCGCGUGUGUGAAGAAGGCCUGAGGGUUGUAAAGCACUUUAGGUGGGGAGGAUGGUAGAGCAGGUUAAGAGCUAGUUUUAUUGACGUUACCCGCAGAAUAAGCACCGGCUAACUCCGUGCCAGCAGCCGCGAUAAUACGGAGGGUGCAAGCGUUAAUCGGAAUUACUGGGCGUAAAGAGUGCGUAGGCGGUUGAGUAAGUUAUCUGUGAAAUCCCUGGGCUUAACCUAGGUGGGAAAGAUAAAACUGCUUAACUAGAGUGUGGUAGAGGAUAGUGGAAUUUCCGGUGUAGCGGUGAAAUGCGUAGAGAUCGGAAGGAACACCAGUGGCGAAGGCGGCUAUCUGGACCAACACUGACGCUGAGGCACGAAAGCGUGGGGAGCAAACAGGAUUAGAUACCCUGGUAGUCCACGCCGUAAACGAUGUCAACUUACUGUUGGUCACAUUAAAGUGAUUAGUAGUGAAGCUAACGCGAUAAGUUGACCGCCUGGGGAGUACGGUCGCAAGAUUA
rnacentral:rRNA from 1 species